AACGAACGCUGGCGGCAUGCCUAACACAUGCAAGUCGAACGAGACCUUCGGGUCUAGUGGCGCACGGGUGCGUAACGCGUGGGAACCUGCCCUUAGGUUCGGAAUAACUCCCCGAAAGGGGUGCUAAUACCGGAUAAUGUCUUCGGACCAAAGAUUUAUCGCCUUUGGAUGGGCCCGCGUUGGAUUAGCUAGUUGGUAGGGUAAAAGCCUACCAAGGCGACGAUCCAUAGCUGGUCUGAGAGGAUGAUCAGCCACACUGGGACUGAGACACGGCCCAGACUCCUACGGGAGGCAGCAGUGGGGAAUAUUGGACAAUGGGCGAAAGCCUCAUCCAGCAAUGCCGCGUGAGUGAUGAAGGCCUUAGGGUUGUAAAGCUCUUUUACCCGGGAUGAUGAUGACAGUACCGGGAGAAUAAGCUCCGGCUAACUCCGUG
rnacentral:rRNA from 1 species